UUUCCUGGUUGCAAUAUCUUCUUUCUCUGAAGGUAGUUUUGUUUUCUUCUCUCUGCAUAAUUGCUGUAUCUUUCAAGUUACAAUUGACUUUAAAAAAAAAUCUUUGUAUUUCAUGGUAAUGGCUUUCCUUGGAUGUCUAGUGCUACUUGAAUGUAUGUAGACUCCUGAUUAGGAUCUGAUCUAAAUGUGCUGAUGGGAACCUCGAAGAGAAGUGGGACUUUUGACUCUGAGCCUUACUGUAUUGUGAUUUGGGUGAGCUGUUUGUUGCAUAACCUUCAAUGUCAGAAUCUGUGGGUAUUUCCUCUUGGUCUGGUUAAAUUCUCAGGGAGGAAUCUUCCAGUUUCCUGGCUGAUGCUACUUGUUCUGAGACUUUGAUGAUUCUAUGGUACACAUUGGAUUGGCUCUCAGCUUUCCCCAUUGCUAGCUUGGAAUUCAGCUUCUUGAUUCUAUUACUUCUACCUUUUCUUAUAAUUGGGAGGUGAAAAAACUAACAAACAAACAAACAAAGGUAGGGCUAUGGUGUGAGGUUAAAUUCUGGAUCCUGAUAUAAAAUUUUUAUUUCAGAAAAGAGCCACACCUGUGUAAGAAGAUGCAAGGACAUUAUGUAUGUCUAGCUGUUCAGCUAACUUUUCAGUCACUUGGGGUAAUAGGGGAAAUCCUGGAUUUCUAGAAUAGCAGAAUGUUAGAAUUGGAAGGCACCCUGGGGCUAAUAAAGCUGACACAUGUGCAGAAAAACCCCCAAGCCAAUCAGCCUAUAUUUGCUCCAGAUGGCAUUCUCUGAGCUUUGUGUUUGCCUGGCCUAAUGGACCGCUAGCUCCAGAGCCUUAAGUACACAUCUCCCAAGAGAAGAGGGGGGAGCCCAGAAGUCUGGGAUCUUGAAGGAAAGGAAACAUUAACAGGUAAUCUUCCCAAUGGAUUAUGUAUUCACAGAGGCACCAAAGCAAACGGUAUACAAGUUGCCUCAUCAGGUUUUGCCCCUUUCAGUAAAGUUCUGAAUAUUUGGAAAAGGCUUGGUCCUGGAGGGGAGGAUCAAAGCAUGAUUAUAAGGAAGAAUGAUGGAGUAACCCGUCAUCUCCCAUUGCGCUACCAAGGGUAAUGCAAGGCUAGAACCCUGAUUUCCAAACCCAUCAUUAAAACCUGUGCCAUGGGGCAAGUGAUAAAAACUAUUGUUAUAAUACUUAUAGCAGCCUUGAUUGGUAGAAUCAUGGUAAAAAAAAAAAAAAAAAAAAAAGGAACCAGAGGCUUUUAAGAUGAUCUUAGAUGUCAUUCUGGUUGUUUUUUCUCUUGUAAUUGCACUCAUGUGGAAAUAUACUGACUUGAUGCCAUACCCUCCCUUUUUGGUUUUACCAUAUUUUUUAUUUUUUAUUUUUUUACUGGAAAAUCUGCUAGACAGAUUCUAAAAGAGCUGUAACCCUAUUUUUAUAUUUUGUAUUUAAUUGUAAUUGUUUAUUUAUAUGAAUGGGCAUUAAAUUUAUGGUUUUCAAAUUUCAAAAUGUGUAAGUAUCCUCUUUUCC
rnacentral:lncRNA from 1 species